rnacentral:miRNA from 1 species
AUCCAGUUCUCUGAGGGGGCU